rnacentral:misc_RNA from 1 species
GAUGAAGAAGGUAGCGAAAUGCGAUAAGUAAUGUGAAUUGCAGAAUUCAGUGAAUCAUCGAAUCUUUGAACGCACAUUGCGCCCGCCAGUAUUCUGGCGGGCAUGCCUGUUCGAGCGUCAUUACAACCCUCAGGCCCCCGGGCCUGGCGUUGGGGAUCGGCGGAAGCCCCCUGCGGGCACAACGCCGUCCCCCAAAUACAGUGGCGGUCCCGCCGCAGCUUCCAUUGCGUAGUAGCUAACACCUCGCAACUGGAGAGCGGCGCGGCCACGCCGUAAAACACCCAACUUCUGAAUGUUGACCUCGAAUCAGGUAGGAAUACCCGCUGAACUUAAGCAUAUCAAUAAGCGGAGGA